GCGUCCUUGUCGCGGCUCUGUGGAGACCUGGCGAUGGAGAGCAGCAUGGCGGACCCCUGAUCUUGUGGCGUGCCACCGAGCGAGGCCGAGGAGCUCCCGCAGACCAGUGGGCGUGCCGUCUUUUAGCGGGAUUUUUGGAGACCUGUCUUUGAUGGAAGCAUCAGUGAUUGAAGAUCAGCAGCAGCAUGGAAUCCUGGGCCUAUUUGGAGAUACCAAGUGAGUCCAAGGAGCUCCCAGAGGCAAGUUGAUGAUGGCCUAUUGAGGGGAUCAUGGAGGCCUGGUGAUGGUUGAAAUGGACCAAAAAUUAGGCUUCAUAGGGAUGAGUUUAUGGGGGAUUUUAUUCCUUCUCCUUGAUAUGUGCUGUGAAGGAAAGUAUUAGAAGUAAUUCUACCUUCCAUCCUCAAGGACCAGUGUGAAUUCUAAUACCAUGACUUUGGAAUUGCAUGGAAUACUCACCACCCUAAAGAAGUGCUAGAUUUUUGUGUUUUCACCUGUUCCCUUUUUUGGGAUGGAACAAAACAAUGCACUUCAAAGGUGACAUGAAGGAAAGUAAUGACAUUAAUUGUACCAUAUCAUCCUGAAGAGGCAGUGGAAGCUGUAACAUCAAUAAGCAUUUUGUCCUGAAAAUACUGGCAUUCCUUUAGGGCAUUGGAACACUCAUAUAACAACAAGACUCUGGCUGUGCUAGUUAGUCAUCGAGCUGUCAUCAACUCUGAUGACUCCUUUCUGUUAUUGAAUAUCAUGGAUCAGUGUGUCUGAAGGUGGUCAGCAAAUGUAUAUAAUUAAUUCCUUAUAAUCUAUUAUCAACUAAUAUUUAAUUUGGAAGGCAUUUUCCCCUCAACUCCUCUAAAUACCUCUGCAAUUUGCAAGUUAAAAGUAAUAUUGGAGUUACAUGAAAUUCUUACCACAUCACCAAAGAAGAGUUACUUUUGUCACUUCUACUUGCUCCCUUAUCUGAAAAGAAACAUAAUGAUGCAUUCUCAAGAAUUUCUGCAUAUUCUUUGUCUUCCUACUGAUGCCUCAUAUAGGAAUUAGGCAUGGAGGUGAUGACAAGGCUGUUCCUCACCCAUAUGGCAGACAGAAGUUGUUUCUACUGAGGGGCAUGCUUGCACAAAUGUCACUGAAUCCUCAGCAAUAUGGCCUGACUGGAAGUUAUAUAGAACAAAAGAGACAUUUUGCUGCUUGGAAUUUUCACUGCCACCCCCAGAGACGUGCUAUUUUUGUCACUUGUACCAUCUUCUUUCUCUGGGAAAAAUGAGAACAAGGCACUCCAGAGGUUGGCGUGGACCAAAAACUGGGUUUCAUUUGGACGAGUUUAUUCUUUCCUCUUGAGAUAAAACUAUGAAGGAAAGUAUUGGGAAUAAUUCGGCCUCGCAUCUUCAAAGGCCUGUGUGAAUUCUCAGAACGGCAAG
ensembl:lncRNA